GCUUAACACAUGCAAGUCGAAAGCCGCUUGUCGGCUUGGCGCACGGGUGAGUAACACGUUGGUAACUUACCUCUCGCUCAGGCAUAAUCCCGCGAAAGCGGGACUAAUUCCUGAUAGUAUUUCAAGGUGUAAUCCCUUGUAAUUAAAGAUUUUUCGGCGAGAGAUAGGCCUGCGUCCUAUCAGCUUGUUGGUAAGGUAAUGGCUUACCAAGGCUAUGACGGGUAGCUGGUUUGAGAGGAUGACCAGCCACAAUGGGACUGGAACACGGCCCAUACUCCUACGGGAGGCAGCAGUGAGGAAUCUUGCGCAAUGGGCGAAAGCCUGACGCAGCCAUCCCCCAUGAACGAUGAAGCUCUUCGGAGUGUAAAGUUCAAUAGAUAGGGAAGAAAUCUCGACGGUACCUAUCGAUAGUCACGGCUAACUACGUGCCAGCAGCCGCGGUAAUACGUAGGUGGCGAGCAUUGCUCGGAAUUAUUGGGCGUAGAGCGCGUGUAGGCGUUCUUAUAAGUCUCUUAUUAAAUCUCCUUUCUCAAAAAGGAACCUGUAAGAGAUACUGUAAGAAUUGAGGAAGUUAGAGGCGACUGGAACUUGCGGUGUAGGAGUGAAAUCCAUUGAUAUCGCAAGGAACACCGAUGGCGAAGGCAGGUCGCUGGAGCUUUCCUGACGCUGAGACGCGAAAGCGUGGGGAGCGAACGGGAUUAGAUACCCCGGUAGUCCACGCCGUAAACGAUGCAGACUAGUCAUUGAAGAGAAUCGACCCUCUCAGUGGCGAAGCUAACGCGUUAAGUCUGCCGCCUGGGUAGUACGGCCGCAAGGCUAAAACUCAAAGGAAUUGACGGGGACCCGCACAAGUGGUGGAGCAUGUGGUUUAAUUCGUCAAUAAGCGAGGAACCUUACCGAGGCUUGACAUCCCUGGAAUCCCCUAGAAAUAGGGGAGUGUCUUCGGAAACCAGGUGACAGGUGCUGCACGGCUGUCGUCAGCUCGUAUCGUGAGAUGUACCGUUAAGUCGGGUAACGAGCGCAACCCCUGUGCUGUGUUAUAUUCUCACAGCAGACUGCCCCGGUUAACGGGGAGGAAGGUGGGGACGACGUCAAGUCAGCGUGGCUCUUACGCCUCGGGCGACACACGUGCUACAAUGGCUGCUAUAAAGGGUGGCUAAGCCGAAAGGUGGAGCUAAUCCCAUCAAAAGCAGUCCUAGUUCGGAUUGAAGGCUGCAACUCGCCUUCAUGAAGCUGGAAUCACUAGUAACCGUGGAUCAGCCAUGCUACGGUGAAUACGUUCUCGGGUCUUGUACACACCGCCCGUCAUACCACGAAAGCUGGUAGUGCCUGAAGCCCCGACGUUUUGUCGGGAUCACGGUAAGACCAGUGAU
rnacentral:rRNA from 1 species